ACAAAUUAAUUAAUACUCAACUGAUAAGAAUUACAUUGAUCAUCCUCCAAAAAGGAGCUGACAACAAAGUAAGGAACAAAAUUAUAAAAACAAGUAUCAAUCUCUAAUUAAGGAUAGUCCAGCUUUGGCAAAAGAAUCCGCUAAUUUAUUUGCCUCCCUUUGGAUAUGCACCAUCGAGCAUUGCUGAAACUUGUCUUUGAGUUUCCAAAUCAGAAAUGAUUUCUGCAAACUGGUUAGCAACCGAGUUAAAAUUAUUCAACAGAUUGAUAGCAUCAAGACAGUCAGUUUCAACAAUCAAACAAGUCUCUCCCAACUCCCGUGCCAUAUUCAUGCCAUAAAAAACUAAAGAAGAUAAAAGAAGAAGAAAGGUAAAAAAAUGGAAUCUCUAAGGGCAGUGGGCAUGCUCACAAUUAAAUAUCUUUAUAUGACAAAACUAAAGAAGAAAAA
rnacentral:lncRNA from 1 species